GACGAACGCUGGCGGCGUGCUUAACACAUGCAAGUCGAACGGAAAGGCCCUGCUUGCAGGGUACUCGAGUGGCGAACGGGUGAGUAACACGUGGGUGAUCUGCCCUGCACCUCGGGAUAAGCCUGGGAAACUGGGUCUAAUACCGGAUAGGAGCCAUUUUUAGUGUGAUGGUUGGAAAGUUUUUUCGGUGUAGGAUGAGCUCGCGGCCUAUCAGCUUGUUGGUGGGGUAAUGGCCUACCAAGGCGGCGACGGGUAGCCGGCCUGAGAGGGUGGACGGCCACAUUGGGACUGAGAUACGGCCCAGACUCCUACGGGGGGCAGCAGUGGGGAAUAUUGCACAAUGGGCGCAAGCCUGAUGCAGCGACGCCGCGUGGGGGAUGACGGCCUUCGGGUUGUAAACUCCUUUCGCUAGGGACGAAGCUUUUUGUGACGGUACCUAGAUAAGAAGCACCGGCUAACUACGUG
rnacentral:rRNA from 1 species